UGUCCAAACCCUGGGAAGUCCCUCCCUAUGAGCACCAGGUAUGGGAGUUUAGGGACUACACCUGCUGCUACCGCAGUAGUGUUCCCCUGGAUUUCAGUUUUUACUGGGAUGCUGGGACAAUAACAUGCUUCCAUG